AAAAGAGGCACAGAGGCCAUGGCACAGAGGCCAUGCCUCCAUCACUAGGUUCAGAGGACAUACCUCUCUAAAUUAUGACUGUAGGUACAGCGGACAUGCGUCCUUCACUAGGACUGACAGGUACAGAGGACACACCUCCUUCACUAGGACUGACAGGUACAGAGGACAUGCCUCCUUCAAUCGGACGGACAGAUACAGAGGACACACCUCCUUCACUAGGACGGACACAUACAGAGGACACGCCUCCUUCACUAGGACGGACAGAUACAGAGGACACACCUUCACUAAGACUGACAGGUACAGAGGACACACCUCCUUCAAUAGGACAGACAGAUACAGAGGACACACCUCCUUCACUAGGACGGACACAUACAGAGGACACGCCUCCUUCACUAGGACGGACAGAUACAGAGGACACACCUCCUUCACUAAGACUGACAGGUACAGAGGACACACCUCCUUCACUAUACCUGAAAGGUACAGAUGACACGCCUCCUUAACUAGGACUGACAGGUACAGAGGACAUGCCUCUCUCACUUUGACUGACAGGUACAGAGGACACACCUCCUUCGCUAGGACUGACAGGUACAGACAUAUAGGCCACACCUCCUUCACUGUACAGGACAGCUGUAAGGCCAUGCCCCCUUUGUGGGACUGACAGACAUUUAGGCCACACCUCUUUCACAGUUGACAGAUAUAUAGACCAUGCCUUUUUAAGUGGGCUGAAUCAGUUUUUAUACUCCUACUAUAAAAUGUUUGAUCACCACAAGAACAAUGAUACAGUUUUGUUUGUGUGUGUGUGUGUGUGUGUGUGUGUGUGUGUGUGUGUGGGGCAGAAAGCGAAUUAUGAACUCAUGUCUUCCUGAAUGCUUGUGAAAUGACUCGCAGUCACAGUGUGAAUGUCUAAACAAAGAGUGUAUUGAUGUGUCACAUGUGAGACAUUCCUCUCCUCACAGCCAGUCCAGUCCAUCAACUCAACAGCUCACACAUGGCCACACAAACACAAAAACACACAGUGUAAGGUGCGUUUCACACGAACCCACACACAUUACCGGGGUGUGUAUGCUGUGCAUGCUG
ensembl:lncRNA